rnacentral:rRNA from 1 species
CACGUAGUUAGCCGGGGCUUGCUCCUAAGGUACCGUCAUUUGUUUCUUCCCUUAGAACAGAAGUUUACAACCCGAAGGCCUUCAUCCUUCACGCGGCGUUGCUGCAUCAGGCUUUCGCCCAUUGUGCAAGAUUCCCUACUGCUGCCUUCCGUAGAAGUUUGGACCGUGUCUCAGUUCCAAUGUGGCCGAUCACCCUCUCGAGGUCGGCUACUGAUCGUCACCUUGGUGAGCCGUUAACCUCACCAACUAGUUAAUCAGACGCAGGCCCAUCCCUGACCGAUAAAUCUUUGACCGAUGAAGCAUGUGCUUACUACGGUAGUCAUGAGUUUUAA